rnacentral:rRNA from 1 species
GACGAACGCUGGCGGCGUGCUUAACACAUGCAAGUCGAACGGUAAGGCCCUUCGGGGUACACGAGUGGCGAACGGGUGAGUAACACGUGGGUGAUCUGCCCUGCACUUCGGGAUAAGCCUGGGAAACUGGGUCUAAUACCGGAUAGGACCACUGCCUGCAUGGGUGGUGGUGGAAAGCUUUUGCGGUGUGGGAUGGGCCCGCGGCCUAUCAGCUUGUUGGUGGGGUGAUGGCCUACCAAGGCGACGACGGGUAGCCGGCCUGAGGGGGGGACCGGCCACACUGGGACUGAGAUACGGCCCAGACUCCUACGGGAGGCAGCAGUGGGGAAUAUUGCACAAUGGGCGCAAGCCUGAUGCAGCGACGCCGCGUGAGGGAUGACGGCCUUCGGGUUGUAAACCUCUUUCAGCUCCGACGAAGCGCAAGUGACGGUAGGUGCAGAAGAAGGACCGGCCAACUACGUGCCAGCAGCCGCCGUAA